rnacentral:rRNA from 1 species
UACGUAUGGGGCAAGCGUUAUCCGGAAUCAUUGGGCGUAAAGAGUGCGUAGGUGGUUACCUAAGCGCAAGGUUUAAUCUUGAGGCUCAACCUCAUUCUGCCUUGCGAACUGGGCUACUUGAGUGCUGGAGGGGAAAGCGGAAUUCCCAGUGUAGCGGUGAAAUGCGUAGAUAUUGGGAGGAACACCAGUGGCGAAGGCGGCUUUCUGGACGAUAACUGACGCUGAGGCGCGAAAGCGUGGGUAGCAAACAGGAUUAGAUACUCCUGUA